GGGGAUCUUGCUGAAGAUCCCUACCUACCUGAGGUCUUCCGAGGGGAACUGCAGACAAAACCCAGCAAACUCAAACUGUGGGCAGCAGUAUGUGGGGACUCUGCUAUGCCUCUCAGCAGGCAGAUACGGAGAAACCAGACCAUCACCAACCAGCUUUGCAUCAACCCACUGCAUUGCAUCCUUCAAGGACCUAAGCCUUAAGGAGAAGGAAUGAGAUAACCCAGAGUCACGCAGACUCCCCAGGAGCCAGGCAAGCCUCUGGCCCCCACUAUUCCCACUGCCCCCUCCCACGUGGUUUCCCAGUUCCGUGGGCAGGCAACAAGCUCUCGGCACCUCCACGCACAUAUGGCAUCCUGACUUCACUGAGCACAUUUUUAGGGCAAGCUUCUCAUCCCACUGCUCGCUCGACUCAAAAUAGCAAGCUGAAUUUGGGAGGCAACGUGUAGCUGUUGGCUGGGGAAGCAGCGUGCAAUUAAAAAGGAGGGACUGCCAGGAAUAUUUUAUACUGCGCAUAUGCUGUUUGCGAUCCUGUGCGCACACAGAAAAGAGAAGAAAGAAAAAAGGUCUUCUGAGAGAGAGAGGAGAAGAAAAGAGUGAUGGUUUGGCUCGCUAGGGCCAUUUUGGAUAAGCCGAAAUGCCACUGGGUGGGAGAUGGCUGCAGUGUACAUCUCCAUCUGCAGCUCCUCACGGAGAUGGGAUGCCUUACAGAUAGAUAGGAAAGGGGCAACUGGGGAUAGCAGCAGGUGAUAUAAAGAGAUAUAUCACAGAGGGAAAUGGGUUCUGUGGUUUUGCCUUUCUCCAUGGCUCAGCAUUGAGUCCACCUCUGCUCCCACCAUGUUUUCUGCCCUGGCUUCCCACGGCCAUGCGGGCUCUGGCAGCUGUGAAAGUGGGAGCCUCUCUUUGCGAUGUCUUGGGAGCCAACACGUCAGCUGAGCGCUGAGAUGGAGCAUUUCAUACGAAAUAUGGAAAUUUCCAUUCCAGGAGGAUUUCAUGGUUUUGUCAAUGUUGCAGCAGCAGAAGCCGGGAUUUUUACAACACUGUGAAAGUAAUGUCUGCCCCAAAAAAAUCUACUUCGAGCUGAGGAAAAACGUUCCAUUUCCUCCAAACGUGCCUCAUUUUUGUAAACGUGUCACUAAGGUCACUUAAGAAUGAAAGCAGAGACAACAGUGAAAUAGAAGGAGCAGAAAAUCACCUUUGGGGGCUGGGAGUGACCCAGGCUUGAGCAGAAGCAUCGCUGGAUCCAAAACCCAUGCAGCCUGCAGGCCCGGCCCCAGGCACAGCGCUCCCAGCUUUCCCAUCCCAGCCACCCAGAGCCGCUCACGUUGCCCAGGCUCCCCCAAGCCAGGGUCAGGUUUUCUUCAGGCUGUGAAGAAAAGAGCAAAGGGAGGGAAAGAAACGCUCUGCAAAAGCCAUUUGUCCCCUCGGCUUUAUUCCGGCUGCAAGUCGGAGCAGCUUGUAGCUCCAGA